GAUGAACGCUGGCGGCGUGCCUCAAACAUGCAAGUCGAGCGGGGCUAUGUAAUAUCGCAAGGUAGAACAUAGCCUAGCGGCGAACGGGUGAGUAACACGUGGGUAACCUGCCUGGAAGACAGGGAUAACGAUUCGAAAGGGUCGCUAAUACCUGAUAAUAUCCUUUCAUCGCAUGGUGAUAGGAAGAAAGGGGAAACCCGCUUUCAGAUGGGCCCGCGUCCCAUCAGCCAGUUGGUAAGGUAAAGGCUUACCAAGGCGACGACGGGUAGCCGGUCUGAGAGGAUGUACGGCCACACUGGGACUGAGAUACGGCCCAGACUCCUACGGGAGGCAGCAGUUGGGAAUCUUAGGCAAUGGACGAAAGUCUGACCUAGCGACGCCGCGUGAGGGAAGAAGGCCUUCGGUUGUAAACCUCUGUCAUGGGGAAGAAGUAAGUGACGGUACCCAAGAGAAGCCCUGCUAACUACGUGCCAGCAGCCGCGGUAAAGUACGUACUACUACUCGUAGACGGC
rnacentral:rRNA from 1 species